rnacentral:lncRNA from 1 species
GCAGCAUCCUCUGGCAUUUCUCUCCCUCUUUCUGCCUUUCCCUGUCCCUCUUUCUUCCGCCCUCUUAAGGCCUCGACAUGAUUUAGUUCGAAGUCGGCUCGGCGAACCGAACAAGUGUGUUCGCAUACUCCCUUAAAAGACCUUCGCUUGGAAAACCUGAAAAAAAGCGGCGAUAAUACCAGUAUUUUUCAAUGAAAGAAUGUGCAAGAAAACGAGUCGUCUCUCAUUGAAUGACAACAAAGACUUAAUUGAAGAAUCUCUACUGUUGACCAAUCACCGACGAAGGGUCGUCGACUUCGGCUACCGACUUCGGCCCGCCUCAAUCGUUUGGCGUGUGCGCCCGAACAGCCCGAAAAAACCCUUAACGAAGUCCAAAAUUAACAAAAUUCUCACAAAAUGGCGCCAUAAUAUAAGCACAAACAGUUCCAAACUGUUUCAGCUGGGAAGCAUGCGGACGUAUUUCUUCCUUCCCUCUCUCUUUCCCCCUUUUCUUCCCGUGUUGCUCGGUUGUGUGCAUUUCCCUCACUCGCCCUCUUAUCUUGACCUUGAUGACUAUCCCGCUGUAUCCUUGAUCCUCCCCGACCCUGCCCCUCUGUACUUCCUGAUUUACUCUUCCGUGUGCACCGGAAUGUUCUCCUGAACAAUACGACAGCAGCAGCAACAGGGUGAGCCAGCGCCUCCAUCGAGCAGAGCAGCCGUCGCUAUUAACCCCGAAAGUGUGCUGGGAACCCCUGCAGAGAAGGCUCUAUUUGAAUGGAAAUAGGAGGGUUGAUCGGAUCUGCAUGAGAACCCCUACCUCUGCUGGAUGUCUCUCCAGUGUGUGAUGGGCUGCGCUGUCUCUCUGCCUGCAGUAGGGAGAGGGAUACUGCUGUGAGAAGUACCAGACUAAUCACAUGAAAAGUGGGUAAAAGAUAAUCGCUGAAUACAAGGUGUAGAUGGAAGCCCUUAUCCACUGAUGGAAAUGUAUGGGGGGGGGUUAUCUGAUCCUAGAUCUGUGGUAAGGGGCCCCCGCCACCACAUAACUUGCGCACCUCAGGGUUGGUGAGGUUGGGGAAUGCUGUGUUGUGUAUGUACUGUAUGGAUACAACACUCCGUUCACUGCUGAAUUGCUGUGCCGCCGGUUGCCAUGGGAACCAGGGGCACACAGACAGAAAGAGUUAUGUAGGCGUGAGGCGGUGAGCAGUCAGAACACACAACCUGAGCGAUAAAUAAAAGAUGUCCCAUCGUCCACCCCGCAAUAUGUCAAUCAAUCACAAAGGUGUCCUUGUCACGACAGGCAGGGUAAGAGGGACCUAACAUGCAUGCACACACACACA